GGCAGGAGUCGCGGGAGACGCGGGAGUGGUCGCGGUGCCCAAGGUCACGGUGCCCGGGCCGGGGCACGAACUUUUUCUCCAACCAUUUCUGCAAUCGGCUAGUAAGGUCUUUCUGGAUAUGUCAACGGGGUAAUCUGAGCACCCAGUCAACCUCCCUGCUCCUCCACCUACCAACAUCCAGCACCCAGUCUACCUCCCUGCUCCUCCACCUACCAACAUCAAGCAUCCAGUCAACCUCCCUGCUCCUCCACCUACCAACAUCAAGCAUCCAGUCAACUUCCCUGCUCCUCCACCUACCAACAUCCAGCACCCAGUCAACCUCCCUGCUCCUCCACCUACCAACAUCAAGCAUCAAGUCAACCUCACUGCUCCUCCACCCUCCAGGACGAAGAGGGUUGUAACACCAAGUAACAAAGUGUACUUUUUCUAUGGGGAAUGUGGUUCAGGUGGGCAGUAUAUGCCAAGAAGCUGUGCAUGACAUCCAAUACUACCUCAUCGAGUCAUUCGAGUGAUGAUGAGGUUCGUUAUUUCAAACAAAUUUCAAACUGCAUUGAAUCAUUAUUAUAAGCUAAUGAUGUAUGAGUAAUUACUCCUCGAACAAGAUAGUGAAUUAUUUCAGUCAUCAUUCAUGCUGGCUCAGAGUGAAAACGC
ensembl:lncRNA